AUUGAACGCUGGCGGCAUGCUUUACACAUGCAAGUCGAACGGCAGCGCGGGCUUCGGCCUGGCGGCGAGUGGCGAACGGGUGAGUAAUGCAUCGGAACGUGCCCAGUAGUGGGGGAUAGCCCGGCGAAAGCCGGAUUAAUACCGCAUACGACCUGAGGGUGAAAGCGGGGGACCGAAAGGCCUCGCGCUAUUGGAGCGGCCGAUGUCGGAUUAGCUAGUUGGUGGGGUAAAGGCUUACCAAGGCGACGAUCCGUAGCUGGUCUGAGAGGACGACCAGCCACACUGGGACUGAGACACGGCCCAGACUCCUGCGGGAGGCAGCAGUGGGGAAUUUUGGACAAUGGGGGCAACCCUGAUCCAGCCAUGCCGCGUGCGGUAAGAAGGCCUUCGGGUUGUAAACCGCUUUUGUUCGGGAAGAAAUCCUCUGGGCUAAUACCCCGGGGGGAUGACGGUACCGGAAGAAUAAGCACCGGCUAACUACGUG
rnacentral:rRNA from 1 species